rnacentral:rRNA from 1 species
AUUGAACGCUGGCGGCAGGCCUAACACAUGCAAGUCGAACGAGUGGCGGACGGGUGACUAAUGUCUGGGAAACUGCCCGAUGGAGGGGGAUAACUAAUGGAAACGGUAGCUAAUUCCUCAUACCAUCGGCUGUGCCGAGAUGGGAUUAGCUAGUUGGUGGGGUAACGGCGCACCAGGGAUACGAGCCCUAGCUGGUCUGAGAGGAUGACCAGGCACACUGGAAAUGGGACAAGGUCACGACGCCUACGGUCGGCAGCAGGGGGGAAUAUUGGACAACGGGCGCAAGCCUGAUGCAGCCAAGCCGGGUGUGUGAAGAAGGGCAUCAGUUUUUAAAGCACUUUCAGCUGGUAGGGGUUACCCGUAGAAGAAGCACCGGCUAACUCCGUGCCAGCAGCCGCGGUAAUAC